GAUGAAUGCUGGCGGCGUGCCUAAUACAUGCAAGUCGAGCGAACAGAUGAGGAGCUUGCUCCUCUGACGUUAGCGGCGGACGGGUGAGUAACACGUGGAUAACCUACCUAUAAGACUGGGAUAACUUCGGGAAACCGGAGCUAAUCCCGGAUAAUAUAUUGAACCGCAUGGUUCAAUAGUGAAAUACGGUUUUGCUGUCACUUAUAGAUGGAUCCGCGCCGCAUUAGCUAGUUGGUAAGGUAACGGCUUACCAAGGCAACGAUGCGUCACCGCCCGGAGAGGGUGAUCAGCCACACUGGAAUUGAGACACGGUCCAGACUCCUACGGGGGGCAGCAGUAGGGAAUCUUCCGCAAUGGGCGAAAGCCUGACGUAGCAACGCCGCGUGAGUGAUGAAGGUCUUCGGAUCGUAAAACUCUGUUAUUAGUGAAGAACAAUUGUGUAAGUAACUAUGCACGUCUUGACGGUACCUAAUCAGAAAGCCACGGCUAACUACGUG
rnacentral:rRNA from 1 species